rnacentral:tRNA from 1 species
GUCCAUGUAGCUUGCAACAAA